rnacentral:lncRNA from 1 species
AGCAUUGCUGUUAUUGAAACACUAGAUGAUAGACCAGCAGAUCAACGUUCCAAUUUAGUAUUUCUGGUAGAUUCGACAUGAGUGCAUAGGAAUUUUUAUGUAAUGAAAAAAGAUAUCCGUAUCAUGCUCCCAUGUCUGGAAAGAUAUGCCAGCUGUUUUACCAGGACGUGGCAUGCACUGAUACGGUAAAAGCCAGCAGAAGGCAAG